GGGGAUUUAGUUCAGUGGUAUAAACACCUGCUUGGUGAGCACGAGAUCGUGAGUUCAAUCCCUG
rnacentral:tRNA from 1 species